UACGUAGGGACCUAGCGUUGUCCGGAAUCAUUGGGCGUAAAGCGCGCGUAGGCGGCCCGGUAAGUCCGGUGUAAAAGUCGAAGGCUCAACCUUCGAAAGCCGAUGGAUACUGCCGGGCUAGAGUACGGAAGAGGCGAGUAGAAUUCCUGGUGUAGCGGUGGAAUGCGCAGAUAUCAGGAGGAAUACCCAUAGCGAAGGCAGCUCGCUGGGACGUUACUGACGCUGAGGCGCGAAAGCGUGGGGAGCGAACAGG
rnacentral:rRNA from 1 species